rnacentral:rRNA from 1 species
ACGCGUUAAACCUUACCAGCCCUUGACUUCCUGGUCGCGGUUUCCGGAGACGGAUUCCUUCAGUUCGGCUGGACCAGUGACAGGUGCUGCAUGGCUGUCGUCAGCUCGUGUCGUGAGAUGUUGGGUUAAGUCCCCGCAACGAGCGCAACCCUCGCCCCUUAGUUGCCAUCAUUUAGUUGGACACUCUAAGGGGACUGCCGGUGAUAAGCCGAGAGGAAGGUGGGGAUGACGUCAAGUCCUCAUGGCCCUU